rnacentral:rRNA from 1 species
CCUACGGGAGGCAGCAGUGGGGAAUUUUGGACAAUGGGCGCAAGCCUGAUCCAGCAAUGCCGCGUGCAGGAAGAAGGCCUUCGGGUUGUAAACUGCUUUUGUACGGAACGAAACGGCUCUGGUUAAUACCCGGGGCUAAUGACGGUACCGUAAGAAUAAGCACCGGCUAACUACGUGCCAGCAGCCGCGGUAAUACGUAGGGUGCAAGCGUUAAUCGGAAUUACUGGGCGUAAAGCGUGCGCAGGCGGUUGUGUAAGACAGGCGUGAAAUCCCCGGGCUCAACCUGGGAAUUGCGCUUGUGACUGCACGGCUGGAGUGCGGCAGAGGGGGAUGGAAUUCCGCGUGUAGCAGUGAAAUGCGUAGAUAUGCGGAGGAACACCGAUGGCGAAGGCAAUCCCCUGGGCCUGCACUGACGCUCAUGCACGAAAGCGUGGGGAGCAAACAGGAUUAGAUACCCUGGUAGUCCACGCCGUAAACGAUGAUUGCUAGUUGUCGGGGAGCUUGCUCUUCGGUGACGCAGCUAACGCAUUAAGCAAUCCGCCUGGGGAGUACGGUCGCAAGAUUAAAACUCAAAGGAAUUGACGG